AACGAACGCUGGCGGCAGGCUUAACACAUGCAAGUCGAACGCAUCCUUCGGGGUGAGUGGCAGACGGGUGAGUAACACGUGGGAACGUACCCUUAGGUUCGGAAUAACCCUGGGAAACUAGGGCUAAUACCGGAUAUCUCGGAGACGAGAAAGGCUUGCCGCCUGGGGAUCGGCCCGCGUCCGAUUAGCUAGUUGGUGUGGUAAUGGCGCACCAAGGCGACGAUCGGUAGCUGGUCUGAGAGGAUGGCCAGCCACAUUGGGACUGAGACACGGCCCAAACUCCUACGGGAGGCAGCAGUGGGGAAUAUUGGACAAUGGGCGCAAGCCUGAUCCAGCCAUGCCGCGUGAGUGAUGACGGCCUUAGGGUUGUAAAGCUCUUUUACCUGGGAAGAUAAUGACGGUACCAGGAGAAUAAGCCCCGGCUAACUUCGUGCCAGCCGCCGCCGUAACAC
rnacentral:rRNA from 1 species